rnacentral:rRNA from 1 species
GACAGAGGGUGCAAACGUUGUUCGGAAUUACUGGGCGUAAAGCGCGUGUAGGCGGCUCUGAAAGUCGGAUGUGAAAGCCCUGGGCUUAACCUAGGAAGUGCAUUCGAAACUCCAGAGCUUGAGUUCUGGAGAGGAAGGCGGAAUUCUCGGUGUAGAGGUGAAAUUCGUAGAUAUCGAGAGGAACACCGGUGGCGAAGGCGGCCUUCUGGACAGUGACUGACGCUGAGACGCGAAAGCGUGGGGAGCAAACAGG